CNNAUUGUAGUAUCCUGCUCAUGAAUAUUUAAAUAGCCGCGGAAUUUUAACUGUGCUAAGGUAGCAUAAUCAUUAGCCCCUUAAUUAGGGGCUUGUAUGAAAGGUAAAACAUUUUAAUCUCUUUCUUUGUUCUUAGAUUUUAAGUUAAAUUAAGAAUUAAAAUGUUCUUAUUUUUAAAAUAGACGAUAAGACCCUUUUGAACUUUACUGAUGUUUAGCUGGGGCAGCUAAUUAAUAAUAAUCUUAAUUUAUAUAUUUUAUUAGAUGACCCAAAAUAUUUGAUUACUAGAUCAAGUUACCAUAGGGAUAACAGCGUAAUUUCUUUUUAAAGCUCUUAUUAAAAAAGAAGAUUGCGACCUCGAUGUUGAAUUAAUGUUUCUUUAUAGUGCAAUAACCUUAAAAGUAGGUCUGUUCGACCUAUAAAACAUUACAUGAUCUGAGUCAAAAACCCGGAGA
rnacentral:rRNA from 1 species